rnacentral:miRNA from 1 species
AUCCCCCAUGGGUCUUGUUAAAAUGCAAAUUCUGACUGAGCAGCACCUGAGAAUCAGCAUUUUUAACAAGCUCCCAGGUGCUGC